rnacentral:rRNA from 1 species
UACGUAGGGACCAAGCGUUGUUCGGAUUUACUGGGCGUAAAGGGCGCGUAGGCGGCAAAUUAAGUCAUCUGUGAAAUCUCCGGGCUUAACCCGGAGCGGCCAAGUGAUACUGUUGUGCUAGAGUGCGGAAGGGGCUACUGGAAUUCUCGGUGUAGCGGUGAAAUGCGUAGAUAUCGAGAGGAACACCUGCGGCGAAGGCGGGUAGCUGGGCCGACACUGACGCUGAGGCGCGAAAGCCAGGGGAGCGAACGGG